UUAAGGGGUGCCCGAUUCUUGUUGUCGUGGCUGAGAUGAUACCCUCUGACCUGAUCCGGAUAAUGCCGGCGUAGGGAUAGGCUGAG
rnacentral:ncRNA from 1 species